rnacentral:rRNA from 1 species
UACGGAGGGAGCUAGCGUUGUUCGGAAUUACUGGGCGUAAAGCGCACGUAGGCGGUUCGGUAAGUCGGAUGUGAAAGCCCUCGGCUCAACCGAGGAAGUGCAUUCGAAACUGCCAGACUUGAGUAUGGAAGAGGGUCGCGGAAUUCCCGGUGUAGAGGUGAAAUUCGUAGAUAUCGGGAGGAACACCAGUGGCGAAGGCGGCGACCUGGGCCAAUACUGACGCUGAGGUGCGAAAGCGUGGGGAGCAAACAGG